GAGUUUGAUCGUGGCUCAGAGCGAACGCUGGCGGCAGGCCUAACACAUGCAAGUCGAACGAACUCUUCGGAGUUAGUGGCGGACGGGUGAGUAACACGUGGGAACGUGCCUUUUGGUUCGGAAUAACUCAGGGAAGCUUGUGCUAAUACCGAAUGUGCCCUUCGGGGAAGGAUUAUCGCCAUUAGAGCGGCCCGCGUCUGAUUAGCUAGUUGGUGAGGUAAAGGCUCACCAAGGCGACGAUCAGUAGCUGGUCUGAGAGGAUGAUCAGCCACAUUGGGACUGAGACACGGCCCAAACUCCUACGGGAGGCAGCAGUGGGGAAUCUUGCGCAAUGGGCGAAAGCCUGACGCAGCCAUGCCGCGUGAAUGAUGAAGGUCUUAGGAUUGUAAAAUUCUUUCACCGGGGACGAUAAUGACGGUACCCGGAGAAGAAGCCCGGCUAACUUCGUGCCAGCCGCCGCCGUAAG
rnacentral:rRNA from 1 species